UGAGGAAUAUUGGUCAAUGGGCGUGAGCCUGAACCAGCCAAGUAGCGUGCAGGAAGACGGCCCUAUGGGUUGUAAACUGCUUUUAUGUGGGGAUAAAGUGCGUGACGUGUCAUGCAUUGCAGGUACCACAUGAAUAAGGACCGGCUAAUUCCGUGCCAGCAGCCGCGGUAAUACGGAAGGUCCGGGCGUUAUCCGGAUUUAUUGGGUUUAAAGGGAGCGUAGGCUGUCUAUUAAGCGUGUUGUGAAAUAUACCGGCUCAACCGGUGGCUUGCAGCGCGAACUGGUCGACUUGAGUAUGCAGGAAGUAGGCGGAAUUCAUGGUGUAGCGGUGAAAUGCUUAGAUAUCAUGACGAACUCCGAUUGCGCAGGCAGCUUACUGUAGCAUAACUGACGCUGAUGCUCGAAAGUGCGGGUAUCAAACAGG
rnacentral:rRNA from 1 species